CACGUAGGGUGCGAGCGUUGUCCGGAAUUAUUGGGCGUAAAGAGCUCGUAGGCGGUUUGUCGCGUCUGCUGUGAAAUCCCGAGGCUCAACCUCGGGCUUGCAGUGGGUACGGGCAGACUAGAGUGCGGUAGGGGAGACUGGAAUUCCUGGUGUAGCGGUGGAAUGCGCAGAUAUCAGGAGGAACACCGAUGGCGAAGGCAGGUCUCUGGGCCGCAACUGACGCUGAGGAGCGAAAGCAUGGGGAGCGAACAGG
rnacentral:rRNA from 1 species